CUGGAACAUGAAGGAGAAUAUUAUAUGACACCACGAGACUUCCUCUUUUCAGUAAUGUUUGACCAAGUGGAACGUAAAACUUCAGUGAAGAAGCUGACAAAAAAGGAUAUCGAGGAUAUACUGGCAGGAAUCCAACCAGCUCAUUGUGGAUCAACCUUUUUUAGAGACCUUGGUGAUAAAGGACCAAUUUCGUAUACUGAGUAUCUUUUCUUGCUUACAAUUCUCCCUAAACCCCAUACUGGGUUUCAUGUUGCUUUUAAAAUGCUGGAUGCAGAUGGUAAUGAGAUGGUUGAGAAAAAGGAAUUUUUUAAGCUACAGAAGAUCAUAAGUAAACAAGAUGAUUUGAAGACGACAACAGCUAAUGAAACAGAAUGCCAGGAAUCAACAGUGAAAGAACCUGAAAUUACCACAACCCUUCAGAUAUAUUUCUUUGGAAAAAGAGGAGAAAGAAAACUUCAUUAUAGGGAAUUUCGAAGAUUUAUGGAGAAUUUACAAACGGAGGUCCAAGAAAUGGAAUUCAUUCAGUUUUCUAAAGGUUUGAGUUUCAUGAGAAAAGAAGACUUUGCAGAGUGGCUGCUUUUUUUCACUAACACUGAAAAUAAAGACAUCUAUUGAAAAAAUGUAAGAGAGAAGUUGACAGCAGGAGAGAGCAUUAGUUUGGAUGAGUUCAAAUCAUUUUGUCAUUUUACAACUCACUUGGAAGACUUUGCUAUUGCUAUGCAGAUGUUCAGUUUAGCUCAUCGUCCUGUCAGAUUGGCGGAGUUUAAUAU